rnacentral:rRNA from 1 species
AAAGAUUAAGCCAUGCAUGUCUAAGUAUACGCAAAUUAUACUGUGAAACUGCGAAUGGCUCAUUAAAUCAGUUAUAGUUUAUUUGAUGUUUCUUGCUACAUGGAUAACUGUGGUAAUUUUAGAUCUAAUACAUGCGUAAAAAGCCCCGACUUCUGGAAGGGGUGUAUUUAUUAGAUAAAAACCAUCCUCCUCGGAGUUUGGUGAUUCAUAAUAACUUCUCGAAUCGCACGGCCUUGUGCUGGCGAUGCUUCAUUCAAAUAUCUGCCCUAUCAACUGUCGAUGGUAGGAUAGAGGCCCACCAUGGUUG